rnacentral:snoRNA from 1 species
CUGCAAUGAUGUUGAUCAAAUGUCUUACCUAAAAUGAGCAUGUAGACAAAUUUAAUACUGAAGGA